AUUCUACGUUUCAGAUAACUGGAAACGAAAAUUCGGACCCGCAAUUUAUUCGGAGACGCGGAAACAGAGGCGUAGAGACGGUACAGGUCGAAAGGGUUAACGCCGUAAAGCGGGCCGACGCCGCAGAAGUGUGCCAGGCGCGGAGAAAUCGAUGCGAACGAGGAAACAUGGCUCGUGGAACGGAUCAUCCGACCCUCAACCACGAUAUUAAACUAUCGAACGGGCCGCGAGACCACGAAUCGUCUCAACGUGCACGAAAACGGUUCUGAAACUCCGUUUCCAAAGCAGUCGUCAACUUUUAGGCGGAUACCUGCGAGAGGUGCCAUAAAGCAUUCCGCUUCGAUCCUCCGGAGCAGAAAUAUUUCCACAACCGUGAUACCUGUUCGACGAGAGGGAACCGAGGAAAAACCGAAGCAAACAAAGGGAAUUAUUUAAACGAUGACAAACGACGCUCCGCCAAGUCCUCGAGCGGGAUCGAGCCGAAAAAAAUUGAAUUUUCCCGCUCCACCCCCCGGUGCGAGGUAGAAAAUACAAAUUAGCCGGUCGGGAAUAAACGUCGUCGGUUUCACAUUCGACACCGCGACGCGGAGGUCGCCGCGACCGCGUUAAAGAACGAUUUUUCUUCUCGUUGCCGGGCAUUGUCCAGAGUCCUCGUCGUUCCUACCUGUUUCACGGAUUGCUUCUCAGCGAGGAGACGCGAUGAACGCGUAACCGGUCGCCCGGAAAAUUCUCCAGACGUGAUCGACUCCCACGCGAAGAAACGUCGUGGACACGAUUUCAUUAAGGACUCGUCUCGGGGGAUUCGCCUACCGGCUUUCCCAUGAAUCGGACUAUAUUAUUACAGUUUUCGGCGUCGCUGAUUCCAGGCACAAAAACCUAACAAAGAACGAGUCCAGGUCAAGAGAGGAGUCACUGUCGAGUCACCUGCUUCUUUUGUAUUCUUCGAGGGUUUCACGGAUACCUCUAAUCGACUGUAAAAGAGAGUCACUCCGAAAGCAGCCACUUCAGAGCACCGGUGGACGCCUAUUUGAUUUACUGGCGAAACACGUGUCGUUCCAUGGCCCCGAGUCGAUCGUAACGAGAGCGUGAAGGUGGAGACGAAACGGCACGUACGACUUUCGUGGAAUUCCACGACUACCUGAUGUUCGACAAUUAUAAAUAUACGCCUGACGAGGUGUUCGGCGAACGUUUCGCGGUUAAUAACCUCUAUUGAACUCGAUUGCCACGACCGACACCGGAGAGCAACAUUAACGAAUACUUAACAUAAAACCUUCGUGCUGGUAGUUAGAGAAAAUGUUACAAGAGUCCGUCAAUGUCUCGCCGGCUGAUCGACACCGCAAUCUCUACCGCGCCUCGAUUCAGACGUCUUGUUCCACGCGACACUCCCCACGAUUUCGCCGACAACCGGUAGAAAAAUGAAAAGAGGGAGACGCGCUAUCGUUCGAGAAGCAAAAGUUCCAAGAAGAGGGAAGAAGAGUAAGAGCGUCGAAGGCGAGGAGGACGCAAACGCGCGCGGUUUGCGCCGGUUUCUCGCAUUCGGCAAUCAAUAACGGGCCUGUAUGACAGGCGACGCACACGGCUCGUUUCCGAGAGCGUGGCUCCGCGACGAGAUCGUGGGCCCCGUGCAGGUGUUGGUGCCCUGAACAGGGCACCGUCGCGGAGCCGACAAAGGGCCCGGCAAUGGGCGAGCUGCAUUCGGCAUUUGUUUCUGGGGAUACUUAGAUCGUAAUCUCGCCGGGGUUCUGACUUCGGUGGUAGUUAUACGCGCCGUGUCUACCUCUCCUUCUCUAUCCCUUCUUGAAUACAUGAACAGACCCCGCCCCUUCCAUCCUUUUAUUCGCAGCUUCUUCGAAGAAUCGCUACGAGAUCGAUAACGAUCGAGGGAAUAACGACGGUGAUGGAAAUCGAGGAGCAAAGUGGAAAUUUCGGGCUUGCGUUCGAGUUUCGAGAUCUUUCGCAGAGCUUUUGCCGUUCGGUUCUUGCGAGUUCCUAACCCCUCAAGCGGCGGUUACGCCGUAUACGUACACCGAGUCCAAAGUCAGUCCACAGCAGUCGUCGCAGCGAUGACGGAUAUAAUCGGAUUAUGAACAUUUCUUGCGUAUCUCGAUGUUUUUGCGUUGGAUGCGUUGACGGACGAGACCGUGCCGUGUUGAAAUCUCGAACAGUCUCGUCUCGUAUUAACCUGCUCGUCCGAACUAAUCCUCUUCCGUUCAAUAAUAAUCUCGAUCCUUCAGUUAGUUGUAGUCCACUUAGUUGUUACAACGUGCAUCAUAUACGCUGAUGGCGGAAGAUUCGUGCGAUCGUAGAGUACGCUUUCAGCGAUGAACCGUGACGCUCGAGGAGUUAAGAACGUAAGAAACUUUGUUAACUACAAACGAUACAAGAAUACCGCUAUAUUUAAGUUCAACGCUAUCCAAAAACUACACGGUGUCGUUUAUGAGUAAUUAACCUGUUGAUUGAAUCAUUUAUUAAACAGAAACUUCUAUCGAUCUGGAAUUAUAGGUUAAUAGAGUCGGAUUAGCUCCUUAGGUUGGCUCGGUUCUUGCAAACGUAAAUACUCAGCAACUUGUUCCUAGGGUUUCGAAGCAAAGGUAUUAUUAAACGCGGAAGGCGAACAAUCCGAUCGUGAGCGAAGAAUAAAUUUCCUAUGACGAACAGGUUAAUUACUCGAAAGAAAUAUAUUAUUUGGCGAAAGACGAAGAUUCCACCAUUCGCCAUUCGCUUCGACCAUCGCUCUGGUAAUAUCGGGCGAAACGUUCUCAACGAUCGAAAGUCAGAUUAAUCGAAGAUUCGCCACGAACAAGCAAGACAUGACACGCUAGCGUGCGAGCGUCUUAUGGGAAGUGAAAAGGUGGAAUUUUCGCGCGACCCAACCGCGUCCCCGAUCGAGUAGAGAUAGAAACACGGCCGAGGUGAAAUCCCCUCGCACACCGGCCAAGGAGGUUUACGGGUGCCCCGCGCACCACUCAUUAAGCAUGGUAAUGCUCGUUCACCUUGCAGAUGGUGAUCGGUAGGUACCUACUAAUUACCCAAGGCUCGUUCUACCGAUGCUGUUAGGACGAGACCGUACGGGAACAAAGAUUUCGGACCCACCAACGCGCGAGAUCGACUAAUUAAUUCUUCUGCGAGCGCACACGGGCCGGCGUUGCCCUCUCCGUGCCACGAGCGAGCCUCUGCCCGUGUCUAUCGAGAACCUUCGAUCGCCCUCCCGACUCGUGGAAUCUCCUUGAAUUUCACGCGUUGCGAUCAACGCUAUCUGCGUGAAUGCAGGGUGCUGCGACCAACGCUAUCGCGGUACGUUUAAAAGUAUUCCGUGCAAAUACAAGCUAUAAACUCGAAA